GGUUGCGUGAUGGAGUUGGUCACCAUACCUGUUUAACAGAAGAUUUCUUAUCUGCGAUUCACAGGAGGUCGGCGGUUCGAUCCCGCCCGGAAUCA